rnacentral:tRNA from 1 species
GGUUCGGUGGUGUAGUGGUUAUCACGUCUGUCUCACACCCGUGAGUUGUGCACAGGAGGUCCCCGGUUCGAGACCGGGUCGAACCA